rnacentral:rRNA from 1 species
UACGGAGGGGGCUAGCGUUGUUCGGAAUUACUGGGCGUAAAGCGCACGUAGGCGGAUAUUUAAGUCAGGGGUGAAAUCCCGGGGCUCAACCCCGGAACUGCCUUUGAUACUGGGUAUCUGGAGGUCGAGAGAGGCGAGUGGAAUUCCGAGUGUAGAGGUGAAAUUCGUAGAUAUUCGGAGGAACACCAGUGGCGAAGGCGGCUCGCUGGCUCGAUACUGACGCUGAGGUGCGAAAGCGUGGGGAGCGAACAGG